rnacentral:rRNA from 1 species
CCCUGGCUCAGAUUGAACGCUGGCGGCAGGCCUAACACAUGCAAGUCGAGCGGAUGACAGGAGCUUGCUCCUGAAUUCAGCGGCGGACGGGUGAGUAAUGCCUAGGAAUCUGCCUGGUAGUGGGGGACAACGUUUCGAAAGGAACGCUAAUACCGCAUACGUCCUACGGGAGAAAGCAGGGGACCUUCGGGCCUUGCGCUAUCAGAUGAGCCUAGGUCGGAUUAGCUAGUUGGUGAGGUAAUGGCUCACCAAGGCGACGAUCCGUAACUGGUCUGAGAGGAUGAUCAGUCACACUGGAACUGAGACACGGUCCAGACUCCUACGGGAGGCAGCAGUGGGGAAUAUUGGACAAUGGGCGAAAGCCUGAUCCAGCCAUGCCGCGUGUGUGAAGAAGGUCUUCGGAUUGUAAAGCACUUUAAGUUGGGAGGAAGGGCAUUAACCUAAUACGUUAGUGUUUUGACGUUACCGACAGAAUAAGCACCG